rnacentral:lncRNA from 1 species
AUGACCGUGGAGCAGAACGUGCUGCAGCAGAGCGCGGCGCAGAAGCACCAGCAGACGUUUCUGAAUCAACUACGAGAAAUUACAGGGAUUAAUGAUGCCCAGAUUCUACAGCAAGCCUUGAAGGAUAGUAAUGGAAACUUGGAGCUAGCAGUGGCUUUCCUUACUGCAAAGAAUGCCAAGACCCCUCAGCAGGAGGAGACCACUUACUACCAAACAGCGCUUCCUGGCAAUGACAGAUACAUCAGUGUGGGCAGCCAAGCAGAUACAAAUGUGAUUGAUCUUACUGGAGAUGAUAAAGAUGAUCUUCAGAGAGCAAUUGCCUUGAGUUUGGCGGAAUCAAACAGGGCAUUCAGGGAGACUGGAAUAACUGAUGAGGAACAAGCCAUUAGCAGAGUUCUUGAGGCCAGCAUAGCAGAAAAUAAAGAAUGUUUGAAGAGGACACCUACUGAAGUUUGGAGAGAUUCUCGAAACCCUUACGAUAGAAAAAGGCAGGACAAAGCUCCUGUUGGACUAAAGAAUGUUGGCAAUACUUGCUGGUUUAGUGCUGUUAUUCAGUCAUUAUUCAAUCUUUUGGAAUUCAGAAGAUUAGUUCUGAAUUACAAGCCUCCAUCAAAUGUUCAAGAUUUACCCCGAAACCAAAAGGAGCAUCGGAAUUUGCCUUUCAUGCGUGAGCUUCGAUAUCUAUUUGCACUUCUUGUUGGUACUAAAAGGAAAUAUGUUGAUCCAUCUAGAGCAGUUGAGAUUCUUAAAGAUGCUUUCAAAUCAAAUGACUCCCAGCAGGAGUGGCAUCAGGAUUAUAGAAAAUUCAGGGAAACAACCAUGUAUAUCAUUAUUGGGCUAGAAAAUUUUCAAAGAGAAAGUUAUAUAGAUUCCUUGCUAUUCCUUAUCUGUGCUUAUCAGAAUAACAAGGAACUGUUGUCCAAAGGCCCAUACAGAGGACAUGAUGAAGAACUGAUAUCACAUUAUAGAAGAGAAUGUUUACUAAAAUUAAAUGAGCAAGCUGCAGAACUGUUUGAAUCUGGAGAGGAUAGAGAAGUAAACAAUGGUCUGAUUAUCAUGAAUGAAUUUAUUGUCCCGUUUUUGCCCCUGUUAUUGGUGGAUGAAAUGGAAGAGAAAGACAUACUUGCUGUAGAAGAUAUGAGAAAUCGAUGGUGUUCCUAUCUUGGACAAGAAAUGGAAUCAAACCUCCAAGAGAAGCUGACAGAUUUUCUGCCAAAGCUGCUCGAUUGUUCUACGGAGGUUAAAGGUUUCCAUGAGCCGCCUAAGUUACCUCCGUACUCCACACAUGAACUCUGUGAGCGAUUUACCCGAAUCAUGCUGUCCCUCAGUCGAACUCCUGCUGAUGGAAGAUAAACUGCACAUACU